rnacentral:tRNA from 1 species
GGUUCUAUAGUGUAGUGGUUAGAAUGUCUGUUUUACAUGCAGAAGGUCCUGGUUUUGCGCCCCAAGUGAAGCCA